rnacentral:lncRNA from 1 species
CCACAUCUCCUUAGCAGUAGUAAAGGAGCAUAUAUUAUUUACCAUUUGUGCCUCUAUAGAUCCCAAAAUUCAAGAAAUAAUAUGAGCAUCAUUCGAUUCUAGUCACUGAGAUUCUUACCAUUCUUAAGUGCCUUUAGAAGACCCAUCAAUAUGAUCCCAAAGUUCUUUUCCCUUUAAGAACAUUUUGUACUGGAAUUCUCAUAUGAAAUAAUUCUUUCUCAUGAAUUUAACACAAAAGACUUCAGUCGAAAUAGUUUCGUUAAAAUAUUCUUAUACAAACAAACCACAAGUUUUAAGACUCAACUGCUGGAAAGCCCAAUUAACAGCCCACAACCUCAACUGAAAAAAUGGCCUUCGAUGAAAUAAAGCCCAAGCAAAUAAAAGGCCCAACUAACCCACAAAAAGAGACCCAGAUGCUUAACUGUCACAGACGCCGACAACGAUUUUUAAAUAGAGGUCCGACCACUGAAAUCAAAAGACCCGCCAGUGAAGAGAAAAUCAAAAUCGCACGCGUCUCAAUCAAACACCACCACCAUUGCACUGAAGAUGAACCAAUGAAGAUGUCGACCAUAGAACAGUCAACCUAGAGUUCCAAGAGGGAUCGCCACCACUCAAGCUCCAUUGAGCCGACGAAGCUAUUAACCGAAGUUGAUCAACCCAAAGUCCCAAACAUGAGAAACCGAACAGAAAGCUUGAAAGGCCUAGAGGAAGAAUUUAAUCACCAACCUCUGACCACGCUAAAGGCAGAGGGAAACCAAAAAAUCGAAGAUUCAGCUAUGGGUUCUAUAGGUAGGCUUUGAUACCAUAACAAGAAUUGGCUGAAAUGCUUUUCCCGUUUGGGACUCCUUGCAUUAAAUAGAAAGAUUACAUACAUACAUCAAUCUAUGGUAGUUGUAAAUUUGGAAAAAUUAUAUACAUAAAUAUGUUAAUAUAAGCUCUCUGUAAUCUUUUGUGAUAUUAUUGACACUAACACGUUGUAAAAUUGGUCAUAAAAGUAGUGAUUGCUGGUAUAAGGAAAAGGAAUAUGUUGAACGCUAUAAUUGCCACCAACUUGGCCAUAAAAAGCAAUGAGUGUUGGAACAAGAAAAAGGAUGAUAAAAGUGAAACUAGUUUCAUUCAUAAAAAUGAAAGUGAUGAGAAGUACACUUGUGAAACUUUACUGUUAACAUGUGAAAAUAAUUAGAAUGAUGAUGUUUGGUAUUUAGACAGUGGUGUGAGUAAGCAUAUGAUUGGAAAUAAAAACUUGUUUUCUAAACUGAUGGAAUCAGAAUUUGGGCAAGUCAAAAUUGGAGAUGCUAGAACUUUUGCAAUUAAAGGGAUUGGAAUUAUAACAAUUGAAGCUAUGAUA